AAUAUUGGACAAUGGGCUAAAGCCUGCUCCAGCCCUGCCGCGUGUGUGAAGAAGGUCUUCGGAUUGUAAAGCACUUUUAUGUGGGAGGAAGGGCCGUUAGUUAAUACCUUGCUGUUUUGACGUUACCUAAACAAUAAGCAACUGCCAAUCUCGUUCCAGCAGCCGCGGUAAUCCGAAGGGUGCAAGCGUUAAUCGGAAUUACAUGGCGUAAAGCGCGCGUAGGUGGUUUGUUAAGUUGGAAGUGAAAGCCCCGGGCUCAACCUGGGAACUGCAUUCAAAACUGGAAAGCUAGAGUAUGGCAGAGGGUGGUGGAAUUUCCUGUGUAGCGGUGAAAUGCGUAGAUAUAGGAAGGAACAUCAGUGGCGAAGGCGACCACCUGGGCUAAUACUGACACUGAGGUGCGAAAGCGUGGGGAGCAAACA
rnacentral:rRNA from 1 species